AGUGAACGCUGGCGGCAGGCCUAACACAUGCAAGUCGAACGGACCAGGUGGAAGGCAACGGAAGCCUGGUUAGUGGCGGACGGGUGAGUAAUGCAUGGACAAUGUACCCUGGACACGGGGAUAGCGGCGGAGACUUCGGUCUCCUUUGCGAAAGUGCCGGUAAUACCUGAUAAUACCGUAUGGUCGCAUGGCUGUGCGGUCAAAGCUCCGGCGGUCUGGGAUCGGUCCANGUCCUAUCAGCUGGUUGGUGGGGUAACGGCCUACCAAGGCAUCGACGGGUAGCGGGCGUGAGAGCGCGACCCGCACAUCGGGACUGAGACACGGCCCGGACACCUACGGGUGGCUGCAGCAACGAAUCUUCCGCAAUGGGCNCAAGCCUGACGGAGCGACGCGCGUGUUGGAA
rnacentral:rRNA from 1 species